CGUUCCUACGGGGGGCAGCAGUGGGGGAUAUUGCACAAUGGGGGGAACCUUGAUGCAGCGACGCCGCGUGGGUGAAGAAGCGACUCGGCGCGUAAAGCCCUGUCAGCAGGGAAGAAAAUGACGGUACCUGAAGAAGAAGCCCCGGCUAACUACGUGCCAGCAGCCGCGGAAAUACGUAGGGGGCAAGCGUUAUCCGGAUUUACUGGGUGUAAAGGGAGCGUAGACGGCAUAGCAAGUCUGAAGUGAAAGCCCGUGGCUCAACCGCGGAAAUGCUUUGGAAACUGUUAAGCUGGA
rnacentral:rRNA from 1 species